rnacentral:lncRNA from 1 species
UGGCAAUGUGGAAAUUAUCCCAUCCAGCAGUAUUUCCCAACACAAGAAGCUUGAUUUUGCUGCCCAAGUGAGAGUGACAGAACUGAUUAAUCCUUUAUUCCAAAUGCCAUUCUCUACCACCAAAUUUUGGUUGUUUAUUUUUUAAUCUUUUCUAGAAAAAGGAAACAUUGUGACUCUACUUAAAUAGCCCAGGUAGACUGAAGAUUUGGCGACAGCACUCUACAUUUAAGCCAGCCGAGCUAAGAAGAGAAGAAAUUGGGUUAUACGAGCGUGCUCCAAAGGAGGAAGGCAGAGAGAAGAAGGUUUUGAGGGCUCAGCUAAAGCUAAUACACGGAGUUCCACUUUACCGCACUGCUACAUAUGGGACCUGCAAACUCAGUGGGGGCCCAAGACAGGUACAUUCGGGUCACGGCCAACAUGCGGAGAGAGAGAACACACACCUUUUCGUGGGAGGGAGUGCUCAGGCUGAAGCUUCCUGGUAAGCAGAAGGAGAAUGGUCCUUAGCCGAGGCCUCACAGCAUAACACUAAAGAGCACAGACUCUAACAUCUAUCAGACCUGAUUUGAAUUCCAGCUCCACUGCUCCCAAGCUAUCCACAGAGAGCAUGUUUCUUCACAUUCCUAAGUUCCAUUUUUCCUGCUGUAGAAUUGGGUAACAAUAGUGCCCUCCUGUGAAGAUAUUAGGAGGCUUAAGUGAAUUUUGGAUGUAAAGUGAUUCACUCAGUGCCUUGAGCAUAGUCAUAAGAAACUGCCACCCUGAGCUCAAUCUUAAAAUCCUCAACAAAGCAACACGGUUUGUACUGCUGUGUUGUAAGGGGCAGAGGGAGUUGCAAGUGAAUCACAACAACCUUGCAGAAAAUCUGCUUCUGCUCCUGCGAGAUAGGACACACAGCAGCCAUAUCUUACAGGGACAAGUUGCUCCACGUAUCUUGUGCCUAAAUUGCUAUUCCUCUUCCUCUCACCCCCUGUGAUGAACCCUGGGUCCUUAGGGGCUCAGCUGGUAUUUUCAGUGUUGUCAAAACUAACUUCCUA